GGGGAUAUAGCUCAGUUGGUAGAGUGUUUGCCUCGUGUGCACGAAGCCCUGGGUUCUAAUCCCCAGGAGCACCA
rnacentral:tRNA from 1 species